GCUGAAGUUGGAUGCCUAACCAACUGAGCCACCCAGGCGCCCCUACUAUACCUUCUUUUAAGCUUUCUAGAAUUUAUUUACAUCUAAAGGAAGGAAUGGCACCCUCAAAUUGUACUCACAUUCCCUGUUUGAAUGUCCUGAUCACAAUUCCAUUGAGCCCGGGAUUGUGGGAACAAUGCUGGUUUAUGUGACGUUUUCACCUGCCUGACAAGUUGUUUGAAAUGGAGAACACCCACUUAAAGCUAUUUAUGUCAUACAUAUUUCCCAAAGGAAAAUUUCUGCAUAAGUAUAUAUUCAAAAUGCUUAAAAAUAAAGUAAUAGUACAGCCAUUUCUACUUGUCCCUAAAGGGUAGGACAUAUGUCAUCAUCAUGUUUCUAUCUGCAGAAUAUAUGGCCCAGGAUAAAAUAAAUAUUUGUUGAAUAGUAUCCCAAAGUUUUAAGUACAGAUCUUUCUUCGUCCCUUUAGUUCACACUUCCUAUUUGGGUAGAAUCCCUCAGGGGAAGCACCGUUUUCAUCUGAUUGUGGAAAAGUGAUUUUCUUCUGUUUAUCUCUGACACUACAACUAGUAGAUGGUCUGCGAUAAAUUGUAUUGAAAAGGAAAAGAGGGAGAUUAAAGGUGUUUUAACCCAAAAGCGUUAUUUUAACAAACUUAAAGUAUUUUUGAAACACACAGGAAAAAAAAUUCCAUAACAUAAAAGUUGUUGAGGGAACUACAAAUGGCAAAACCUUCUAUGAAUAUGCAUUCAUCCAAGUAAUAAACACGUAUCCAAUUUGUGCCUGGUCCUCUGGAUGUAAAAUGUCAGGGAACUGUGAGGUGGCAAUAAGGAGGGUCUUUUCUCUCGAAUGUAUUAUUCAUCCGUCCUUCAUUAUUUAGGGCGUUAGUAAGUGAUACUCUGUGCUGCUGUUGCACCAUUCCUGGGAGGUAUCGGUCAUCUUUCCCCCAUUUAUUUUAUAGCUUUUGAAGGUGGGUCAACAAGGAGCCAGUCUGGACUCAGAGGACUGACCAAUGGAGAGAGAAUGCACCAAAGAUUCUGAUUGAGUAGGCCUGGGAUGGCAGAGACCCUUUACAAGCUCCAGGGAAUGGUGGUGCUGCCUGUCCUUGAGUAGCAAGAGGCUAAAAGACACAUUUUAACUGAUGAGGAAACUGAAGCUUAGAAAGAGGAUCAGUAACUUCCCCAAGGCUACACAGCUAUUCUUGCCUACCAGGACAGAUACUACGUCCUCUGCAUGAACGAUCACUAUGGUUCCCAUUUUACGGAAGACGAAGCCAAGGCUCAGAAAGUUUUGACUUCUGUAAGGUCAAGCUAGAGAGCGGUGGGGCCAGAAUUCUAGUCCUUGUGUUUGACAGCAAAGCCCUUACAUGUUAAUGGGACAUUAAUGAGACCGCAUACAUUUUUAAAUUCUGCUUUAGGCUUAAAGAUCACCAACAUUGCUUUUUCAACCAUUAAAAAAAUUUUUUUUU